GAGUCGUAACAAGGUUUCCGUAGGUGAACCUGCGGAAGGAUCAUUAUUGAAUUGUGAAUGGGGCUUGAUGCUGGCUUGUCCAUCCCUUUUGGCUGCCAUGUCGCAUGCGUCCCGCAUCGGCCCCAAGUCCCAAUUUUUCCCUUUUAAACCCAAACCCACCUUGUGCCACCCUUUCCUUGUGAGAAUGGGAGAGAAAGGGCUUGCCUCUUUUAUCUCGUCUCAUGAUUCAUAAACGCUGUUUGUAAUGUUGAAUGCAUUUAUGCCGUCAAGGCUUUAACCUAAUACAA
rnacentral:misc_RNA from 1 species